rnacentral:rRNA from 1 species
GUACGCUGGCGGCACGCCUUAUACAUGCAAGUCGAACGAAGUAGCAAUACUUAGUGGCAGACGGGUGAGUAACAUGUAGGUAUCUGCCCUUUGGCCUGGAAUAACACGAGGAAACUUGUGCUAAUACCGGCCAAGUCUUUACGGAGAAAGCUUUAUGCACCAUUGGAUGAGCCUGCACUUGAUUAGUUUGUUGGUGGGGUAAUGGCCUACCAAGACAAUGAUCAAUAGCUGAUUUGAGAGGAUGAUCAGCCACAUUGGAACUGAGACACGGUCCAAACUCCUACAGGAGGCAGCAGUAGGGAAUCUUGCACAAUGGAGGAAACUCUGAUGCAGCGAUGCCGCGUGAGUGAAGAAGGCCUUUGGGUUGUAAAGCUCUUUCGUCGGGGAAGAAAAUGACUGUACCCGAAUAAGAAGGUCCGGCUAACUUCGUGCCAGCAGCCGCGGUAAUACGAAGGGACCUAGCGUAGUUCGGAAUUACUGGGCUUAAAGAGUUCGUAGGUGGUUAAAAAAGUUGGUGGUGAAAUCCCAGAGCUUAACUCUGGAACUGCCAUCAAAACUUUUUAGCUAGAGUAUGAUAGAGGAAAGCAGAAUUUCUAGUGUAGAGGUGAAAUUCGUAGAUAUUAGAAAGAAUACCGAUUGCGAAGGCAGCUUUCUGGAUCAUUACUGACACUGAGGAACGAAAGCAUGGGUAGCGAAGAGGAUUAGAUACCCUCGUAGUCCAUGCCGUAAACGAUGUGUGUUAGACGUUGGAAAUUUUAUUUUCAGUGUCGCAGCGAAAGCAAUAAACACACCGCCUGGGGAGUACGACCGCAGGUUAAACUCAAAUGAAUUGACGGGGACCGCACAAGUAGUGGAGCAUGUGGUUUAAU